GUGAAUCAUCGAAUUUUUGAACGCAAAUUGCACUUUCUGGUAUUCCGGAGAGUAUGCCUAUUUGAGGGUCAUUAGAAAUAAUAUAAAUUUCGAGAGUGUCUUGGAAUCAAAAAUGGGAGGGUCUAGUAUUCGUGUGGUGGUCGCCUAAAAUGCAAGACAAGAUCAUUUUUUGGGAUGCGUGAUACUUUCAGUUACCUUGUGACUUCAUAAGGAAUCUUUGAGCGAGUUAGGA
rnacentral:misc_RNA from 1 species